ACGAACGCUGGCGGCAGGCCUAACACAUGCAAGUCGAGCGCGCCCUUCGGGGUGAGCGGCGGACGGGUGAGUCACGCGUGGGAACGUGCCCUUUUCUACGGAAUAGCCUCGGGAAACUGAGAGUAAUACCGUAUACGCCCUUUGGGGGAAAGAUUUAUCGGAAAAGGAUCGGCCCGCGUUGGAUUAGGUAGUUGGUGGGGUAAUGGCCUACCAAGCCGACGAUCCAUAGCUGGUUUGAGAGGAUGAUCAGCCACACUGGGACUGAGACACGGCCCAGACUCCUACGGGAGGCAGCAGUGGGGAAUCUUAGACAAUGGGGGCAACCCUGAUCUAGCCAUGCCGCGUGAGUGAUGAAGGCCUUAGGGUUGUAAAGCUCUUUCAGCUGGGAAGAUAAUGACGGUACCAGCAGAAGAAGCCCCGGCUAACUCCGUG
rnacentral:rRNA from 1 species